CAGCCCAGCGCAAGUGCUGCUACAUUCCAACACCAGCACCGCAUAUUAAGCUGGAAAGUAGCAGAUAAACAAAGGCUAUAGAAGGUACUAGAGAAGGGCCAUUAUCAGCUGUUAUUUACCAAAUAAACCUCCCAUCCACACGGAGAUGGCCUUAUUUUAUUAUUAUUUUUACGCACACACAUCCCCCAUUCCCACCCCCCCCUUCCCCCACGUAUUGACUCAGCUCCUGCCGAAUGGGAAGAGCAUCAUUUAACCGAGCUCCGUUAUCACCGCGCUGCCAAAAAACAGCGGCAACGGCUGCUGCCACCCCCAGCGCCCCUUCCCGGGGGCGAUACGGCCCGGCCUAUCGGCCCCGGGCAAAACCCCAUCCUUGGCACUGCCCUGGCACACGGGGGGGAAGGUGGCACCCCGCGGUUGGGAGCUGGCCGGAGAGAAUCCUCCCUUUUUCCGUCGCCCCGAGGCUUCCCGGAGCCCAGGGCAGCCGAGGAGGUGCCCGGCGAUGGCAGCGCAGAAGUGCUGAAUGAUCCCAGAUGGAAUAAAUUCAAUUGGUGCUACACAUGUGAAGUGCUCUGAAUGAGGAAUGCAGCAGUUUCUUGAAAUAUUCACUUGAACUCUUCACUGUCUCAAACUCAGGAACCAGAAUCUAAAGAACCUUCAACUGCAGGUAAUUCCAGCCAUCCCAAACCCAUCACACCCAGGAGGAAACAAAACCUAUUUAUGGCUGAUGGUUCUUUUCCAUGGAAAGGGGAGGAAGGGACAUCUUCCUGCUGUUUAUCCUGAUAUCCCAGAAGUGUCCUGCCCAAAAAAACUAAACCCAGUAUGGUUGGGAAAGUUGUUGUGACAUGGGGCUGGAUGAGCUUGAAGAUCCCUCCAACCCAAACCACUCCAUUGUUCCCUGAUGAGGGAAGAGCUCUGAAUGCACGAGCAGGCAGAAGGAGACUGGGAGAAGCUGCAGAGCCACCACGGGCACACCUUUGGUUCCUGUGUCCCAUCUUCAGGCCACAACUCAAUUAAAUCCCAAUUAGUGGCUCAUUAACCCUCCAGUGUGAGCAGGCACUCCAGCAAACUGGGAACAGCAAUAAAAGCAGAAGCCUGUAAGAGUGAAAACUAAUAAAAUCUACAUAAUUAGGAAAGUGAAGAGAGAAUUUCAGGUAGGUGUGGCUGUUCUUUAGGAGUUAGAGGAAGAAAAUUGUGAGAAACAGAUGUGCUCUUCCUCCAGGAUGGGAAGAGGUGAGACAGGGAAUGCCAAAAUGAUUGAUGGCUUUUUCUCCUCACUCCUCAGCAAGGAGAAUGAACAACGGUCCAUGAGUAACCACGAAGAACAGAGAGAACAGAGCAGAACAUUUCAGUGAGUUGGGGUUUUUCCAGUCAGCCAGACCUGGCAGAAACCAGCUGAGAGGACACAGAGGACUGGCUGAAUCCUAUAGGAAUCCACAAGGAAUCCCUUCCCACACCUGGAAAUGGGAAGAACAGGGACAAGUGCUGAAGAGUGAAAAAAAAAAAAAAAAAAACAGCUUGGGGAAUGUCGGAGGAGAAAACAGCCCAACUUGAAUUCCUGGAAAUUUCUGGAAACAAAUAAUGAAACAAAGUUUUCUUUUGUGCAUGGGAAAUAAUGAAAUGAUAAGUGGAGGCCAAGAAUGAUUUGCCAGGAACAAAUCCUGCCCAGCCAGGCUCAUUUCCUCCCCUGACAAGUAGCAGCUCUUAUGGACAAUAGAUAUUGCAUAUCUUGACUGGAGCGAGGCUUUCAGCACAGCCUCCGCUGAGGGAACUAAAAUGAAACCAUUGUAAGGUGAACUCAGCUGUUUGAAACACCAAAAACCCUCCAAGAGGGAUUGUUGUUGGUGUGGAAAAAGGAUGGAAGGAAUUUUUGCAGAUGCCCUGCACUGGGUUUGUGCAAUUCCCUGCUUUCCUUGUGUUUUGGAGGAUGGAGGAUUGAGUGGGGAAGUUCUUCCAGAAUUAACAUCUUGAUCCUUGAAGAAAUGGAGUGAAAACAGCAGGAUUCAGCGCAGGUGUAAACUCAGUUUUUGAUAAGAAUAAACCUCCCAGUGGAAGGAGCCAACAAGGCAAAAAAACCUGGACAAAAAUCUGUGGGGAUUUUGAAAGAGCUUGAGCUCCCUGGGAAUUAACAACGGUGUGGGAAAGCAAGGGUUGUCCUGAAAUGUCUAAACAGGCUGGUUGGGACGUGUGGAGUAAUUUCUGCACUCCCACUCAGCCCUGGGGAGGCCUGAAAGUGAAAAAUCAACAAUUCCCUUUGGUCACUGAACUGGAGAAACCCCAGUGUGGUCUCCAACUUCCUCACCAGGCCAAUUAGGGAAAGCCCUGAGAGACAAAAAGGUGCUGAAAGUCUGUAAAAAUGCUGACCCUGGAGGGAAAUCUCAAAGUUCUGGGUUUGGUUGUUUUAAUCAAGAGAAAGUAGGACAGAGAAGAAACAUGAGAAGAGUCUUCAAAUAUGUAACAGGUAGAAGGCAGCAGGAAAUCUCAAUGCUUGGAGGGAAGCAGGGAGCUUAAACAAUAUCCAGAAUUAGAGUUUCUGCUGGAUUUAAAGGAAAACUUCCUAGUUAGGGAGUUAAGGAAGCCUUGGAGGGCAUUGAGGGCAUUAAAUGCAGCUGGAAAAAGCACCACAGAUUAUUGGUGUGUUGGGGAAGCCGUGAGGGAAGAAGCUUUGAGGCAAAUGUACCUAAAAAGCUGCAGAAAUAGAUUUGAAAAGCUCAGGUGAUAAUCUGGAGCUGGAGACAUCCUGAGGGUGCUGUCCAUGGGUGAAGCAUCUCUCAGCUCCCAGGAAGCUCUUUCCAGCAACCCCAACAUGGGAAAAAAAGAUAAAAAUCAGCUCUAAGAUGCAAACAUUGAAAGGUUUCUGAGUCCCAGAUAAUUUCUUGAGGUCUCUUUGUGCCUUCAGUGAUUGCAAACAGACACAGAGAGUGCCAGAAUGGCUGAAUUUCUGCUUCAGUGGUUUCCUGCUGCAGGUGAGAAAAAGGAUGUUAAAGCUGUGUUGGUGCCUUGUGCAAAAAUAAAUAAAUAAAGACAUAGAAAUAAAUAAAUAAACCAA